AUGACAAUCUUCGAAGCUCAGUGGCUUAGAAGAAAAACGAGUUUGAUCGUCAUAUAAAAAAAUUGGGAAUUUAAGCAUAAGACUCAUAUUCUUACAUGAAUUGAUUAUUGAAUUAAACUACUUCACCUAAUAAAAUUCAUUAACAUAAAUACUAAUCUCAUAAAUAUAUAUGUUCACAAUAUUAUCAUUAAUGGUAAUUAUCAUUUAGAUCCUUCUAUAUGCAAGUUACAAUUAUCCCAACCAACUUUGUCCCAAUUGGGUUUCUCUCAAAAUACUGCUUUGAAAGAUGGUUGACCUCUCUUUCUUUGGUGAAUCAACGGUUUGAUCCUUCUUUACUCCAAACAAUGUUGAUCGUCGUCCCCCACCGUUUGGUUCUACAAUGUGAAUGUUCUGAAAUCUUAUUGCUUUUGAAAGUCUGAGACCCUUUGGUUCUCUUGGUUUUUCCUUCACUAUUCAUCCUUCUCUUUACCGUCUUACUCUACGUUUGGUCGUAUGUAGCCUCGUGAAAAAUACAACCUUUUUUGGAUCAUUAAAUUUCUUGUUCAUAUCCUCUUCAUCAUUUUGUUUAGAAAA
rnacentral:sRNA from 1 species